rnacentral:lncRNA from 1 species
GCGCGCGGGGCCCGCCGGGACUGGGGGUGUGCGGCUGCGCAGACUUGGUAACGCGAGAGCGCGCGGGGAGGGUGUGUCACGCCUCCCGAGACUGGGGCUGUGCGGCCUCACGGAGAAACUGAGGCAGGCGCGAAGCGUCGAGUGCGCGCGUGGCCCUGCAGGCAGGCGGAGACCCUGGUGGCUCCCAUACACGUAACAGCACUCACUGCUCUUUGACGUUAGUGAAUAGACCGUAAGCUCCCUGGAGCAGGGACCUUAUCCCAGCGUCUACCGCGGCGCCCGUCACCUAGGAAACCUCCAUUUUCUAAGGCCUUUCAGCUGAUUGGAUGUGGUCCACCCAUGUUAUUGAAGAUAAUAUUUUUUAAGGCUUCCUCCUUGGAGGGACCUCAGAAGUCCCAGGCUUCAUAGUGUCAAGUUCAACAGAAAGAGUAGUUUUCAUCUUUCCACAGUUCUUAGAAAAGUCCUGAGACUGAGUUUUACUGGGCAAUGUCAGUUUAGUAAAAGGGACAGGAUGUUAGCAAAGGAAGGCAUUACCAGCAAUAAGAAGUGAUAGCUGCCACGGGAAGCAAAUGCAGAAACAGCAGCCUGGGCUGUUCCAUGCAGGGGAGUUCAGCUCAGGUGGGCAAAACCAGAUAACUAACAUGAACAGUGGAACAAUCAGUGAACCAAUACAAGGGUUAAAUAAGCUAGCAAUUAAAAGCUGUAUCACUGGUCUAAAGAUAGAAGAUCAAGUAGAAAAUCAGCGCAAGAGGAAAGAUAUACGAAAACUAAUGACCUUCAAGGUUUGGCUGAACAGCUGAACUGCAGGAUGGAUUGGAAUGCCUAGAACCAGAAACUUAGGAUGCCUAGAACCAGAAACUCAGCCAUUGCUGAGGUUCACUGCUUCUCAGCGCUGCUGCUUUAUACACACAAACUGUAUUCUCUCCCACUGUUUUGUCUUCUUUCAUAAAGCAGGAAACAUAGGUGCUCAUAACUUGUGAGUUUUAAGUCUUACUCUAGAGUUUACAAAUGCA